GGCUCAGGAUGAACGCUGGCGGCGUGCUUAACACAUGCAAGUCGAACGAAGAUGCCGGAGUGCUUGCACUUUGGCAGACUGAGUGGCGGACGGGUGAGUAACGCGUGGGUAACCUGCCUUAUACAGGGGGAUAACAGUUGGAAACGACUGCUAAUACCGCAUAAGCGCACGGUAUCGCAUGAUACAGUGUGAAAAACUCCGGUGGUAUAAGAUGGACCCGCGUCUGAUUAGGCUGGUUGGUGAGGUAACGGCCCACCAAGGCGACGAUCAGUAGCCGACCCUGAGAGGGUGACCGGCCACAUUGGGACUGAGACACGGGCCCAAACUCCUACGGGAGGCAGCAGUGGGGAAUAUUGCACAAUGGAGGAAACUCUGAUGCAGCGACGCCGCGUGAGUGAAGAAGUUAUUUCGGUAUGUAAAGCUCUAUCAGCAGGGAAGAUAAUGACGGUACCUGACUAAGAAGCACCGGCUAAAUACGUG
rnacentral:rRNA from 1 species